rnacentral:rRNA from 1 species
AAUGAACGCUGGCGGUGUGCCUAACACAUGCAAGUCGAACGGCAGCACGGUAAGAUCGUGCCCUUACUGUUGGCGAGGGGCGGGCGAGUAACACAUGCAUCACAAACUUCUAUUUCUGGGGGGACAACGGGGGGAAAGUGACGCUAACACCGAAUAUUUUGUACCGGAUGAAUCAAGAGUUAAAGACACUCUUGCCGUCUGAAAUAGCUGAUGCCGCGCUGGAUUAGCUGGUUGGUAAGGUAACGGCUCACCAAGGCAACGAUGCAUAGCCGACCUGAGAGGGUGAUCAGCCACACUGGAACUGAGACACGGUCCAGACUCCUACGGGAGGCAGCAGUAGGGAAUCUUGGACAAUGGGCGAAAGCCUGACGGAGCCACGCCGCGUGGGUGAAGAAGGUCUUCGGGUUGUAAAGCUCUUUUGUUAGGGAAGAACAGAAGUAUGUUAAUCCGUGGACAUUUUGACGGUACCUAAACAGUAAGCCCCGGCUAACUACGUG